rnacentral:lncRNA from 1 species
UGCUGUCAACGAAGGGAUUGGAACUAGAAUUGAAGCAAGUUUGAAGUACAAACUCAGUUGUUACAUCAAUCAAGCAAGGUAAGCCAUAUAUGUUCAUAUUAUGUUAAAAAAAAAGAAAAAAGAAGAAGUAAAUACAUGUGUAAAAUGAUACAACUGUUGUGUUUGGGCUGUUAAAUGUUAUCAUGAUUGAUGGAAUGCUGCAUUUGUUAUGCGGAGAUAAAAAUACAUGACUGAACCAUGUACUGAUAGGUGUGAAAUUUGUCUUUUCAAGUUGUGCACAUGUUAUGUUUGAUAAAUGUUCUCUAAGAGGUUGUCAAGCAUAAAUAAGAGGAUUUGGUCAAGUUUGUGAUUAAGAAAUUCUUUAUACAUGUUUUAUAAAGUAAGUCAACUUAUUUUGGUUGGGUGAGCCAAAACAAGUUUGUAAGAACUGAAUGAGUUAGGCUCUGUUGAAAAACUGUUUCAGC